UAGGGGUUAGGUAAAACCUUCUUGAAGCUGAUGGACGUGAUCAUGCCCUGCCUUCAGGGCAAAUGUAGGAAGUUUCAGGGACCAGGAUGUGGGUGAUCUGACCUUCUGGGUAGAGCCCAGAACAGGAACCAGGAGACAAGCCAGGGAUCAGAGCCGGAAGUAGAAGUCAAGCAGAAUUGAACAUGACAGGAAUGAGACAGUAGCAAGGUAGACCAAGAAGACAUCACAGCUGUAGGUAUAAGUAUUGAGCAGCUAGCCACCUGUCAUGGCUGCUGAGGUUAAAUGAAGACCUAUUGGCUCCUCGCAACCAAUUGGGUGGGCCAGCCAAUUAGGUGAUCCUGCCACAGCCCAUUUGGAUUCAUUAACUGGCCUGAGGCUGAGCAAACUAGCUCUUGACUCAUCUGAGAAAACUCAAGCCCCUACUUCCAGACAUGAAACAGUAGGAGCUACUCCCAAGUCAUAAGCAAUGCUGGCCACACAGACUGCUAUAUUUACACCUGAAAAAUGAAGCCUAAAACAGGAGGGUUGACUCAUAAUGGCUUUCCAUUGCUAGUGAGGAUUUGAUUGUCGUAUCAUCAGCAAGUUCACUGCAGAACAAUGUAAAGCUUUGAGCAACCCUCCUUUCGCUUACUGGUUUUAUAUGCUAGGAUAGGACCUGAGUUCAAUGGAUUUUACUCCUGACUUACACCCAUGUGAAAGCUUUAACACAGACCAGGAGAAAGAACAGUCUCUGCUCAGUUCCUGUCAUCUUUGGAUGUCUCGGCCUCAUUGACUGUACAUGAAAGUGAUCACCCAGGGCAAAGUUCUCAAAUCUUGUCCAGCAGCCUGUACCAAAUUUAAAUAUUAACCAUAGCACCCUGCCCAAAGUGCUAAUGGGCAUAUCGAAUAAAGUAAAUCUGUAAAUUCAAGACCAAGAUGGCUUGGAAAAGCACCUUCCAAAAAAUGUGAUCAAUAGUAUAAAAAUGAAAUUUUGAUUUUUCAUAUUUGUAUAUUUUAUUAACAACUUGGUAUAUUGUCCUCAGACUCCCCACAACAAAGUCUUUGGCAGUGGACUACACAUGAUACAUUUCAGAUGCCUGAUUAGUUGUGGUCAUUUUAAGAUCUAACAUUCUUGAGUUAUUUUGGGAAGUGGCUCCGGUCCUUGUGGUAUUUCAGCUUUAUAGGUUUGCUUAUGUAUUGGAUUUUGUGUUUGUUUGAAUGGCUCUUUAAUUAAAACUAGACAAAAGCAAAAUUCCUGUCUGCGAUUACAUUGUAAUCCCAGAACAGACACAAGAACAAUCAGCCUACUUUUGUCCUUAUUUAGAAAUAGGAAGGCAUUUGUUUUUGAGUAAACAACGAUAUUACGCAUUCCAAUUUCAAAACUCUGAGC